CAAAAAACGUGCUCCUUGGACCCAAGGGCAUCUAGACUCAAGUGAUUCCUCUUGGGUUUGUUGUUGCCUGGACACCAAGACCUUCAUCAGCCCUGUGAAGACGUGGGAGUGGUGGAUCAGCCAUGAAGAUCCUGUACCUGCUCUUCCCCUUGCUCCUCCUUCUGGUCCAGGGUGCUUCAGCUGGAUGCAGACGGCGAGGGGGAUACUGCACUUAUGGAAGAUGCAACUUCCCUGCGAGACCUAUUGGAAGAUGUACCCUGUAUAGUGUGUGCUGCAAAA